rnacentral:rRNA from 1 species
AUUGAACGCUGGCGGCAGGCCUAACACAUGCAAGUCGAGCGGAGCGGCGGACGGGUGAGUAAUGCCUAGGAAUCUGCCUGGUAGUGGGGGAUAACGUCCGGAAACGGGCGCUAAUACCGCAUACUAUCCAAUGAGCCUAGGUCGGAUUAGCUAGUUGGUGGGGUAAAGGCCUACCAAGGCGACGAUCCGUAACUGGUCUGAGAGGAUGAUCAGUCACACGUGAGAUGAGACUCGGUCAAGGCUCGUACGGGAGGCAGCAGGGGGGAAUAUUGGUCAAUGGGCGAAAGCCUGCUCCAGCCAUGCCGCGUGUGGGAAGAAGUUCAUCGGAUUUUAAAGCACUUUAAGUUGUGAGGCGUUACCAACAGAAUAAGCACCGGCUAACUUCGUGCCAGCAGCCGCGGUAAUAC